rnacentral:rRNA from 1 species
UACGUAGGGUGCAAGCGUUGUCCGGAAUUAUUGGGCGUAAAGAGCUCGUAGGCGGUUUGUCGCGUCUGCUGUGAAAACGCGAGGCUCAACCUCGCGCCUGCAGUGGGUACGGGCAGACUAGAGUGUGGUAGGGGAGACUGGAAUUCCUGGUGUAGCGGUGAAAUGCGCAGAUAUCAGGAGGAACACCGGCGGCGAAGGCGGGUCUCUGGGCCAUAACUGACGCUGAGGAGCGAAAGCGUGGGGAGCGAACAGG